rnacentral:rRNA from 1 species
GACGAACGCUGGCGGCGUGCUUAACACAUGCAAGUCGAACGGUAAGGCCCUGCAUUUGUGGGGUGCUCGAGUGGCGAACGGGGGAGUAACACGUGAGUAACCUGCCCUUGACUUUGGGAUAACUUCAGGAAACUGGGGCUAUUACCGGAUAUGAGCUCCUGCUGCAUGGUGGGGGUUGGAAAGUUUCGGCGGUUGGGGAUGCACUUGCGGCUUAUCAGCUUGUUGGUGGGGUAGUGGCUUACCAAGGCAUUGACGGGUAGCCGGCCUGGGAGGGUGACCGGCCACAUUGGGACUGAGAUACGGCCCGGACGCCUACGGGAGGCAGCAGUGGGGGAUAGUGCACAAUGGGCGGAAGCCGGAUGCAGCAACGCCGCGUGCGGGAUGACGGCCGGCGGGUUGGAAAGCGCGUGCGCCUGUGACGAAGCGUGAGUGACGGUAAUGGGUAAAGAAGCACCGGCUAACUACGUG